rnacentral:rRNA from 1 species
UGGUUAUAGUGGAGGUGUUACACCUGUUCCCUUUCCGAACACAGAAGUUAAGCCCUCUCACGCCGAUGAUACUGCCCCUUGAAGAGGUGGGAAAGUAGGUCGCCGCCAGGC